rnacentral:rRNA from 1 species
GACGUAGGGCGCGAGCGUUGUCCGGAUUUAUUGGGCGUAAAGAGCUCGUAGGCGGCUUGUUGCGUCGACUGUGAAAACCCGCGGCUUAACUGCGGGCUUGCAGUUGAUACGGGCAGGCUAGAGUUCGGUAGGGGAGACUGGAAUUCCUGGUGUAGCGGUGAAAUGCGCAGAUAUCAGGAGGAACACCGGUGGCGAAGGCGGUUCUCUGGGCCUGUACUGACGCUGAGGAACGAAAGCGUGGGGAGCGAACAGG